rnacentral:rRNA from 1 species
ACUAUUAGAAAUAGUAGCUAAUACCGAAUAAGGUCAAUUGAGGUGUUAAUUGAUGAAAGGAAGCCUUUAAAGCUUCGCUUGUAGAUGAGUCUGCGUCUUAUUAGCUAGUUGGUGGGAUAAGAGCCUACCAAGGCUAUGAUAAGUAACCGGCCUGAGAGGGUGAUCGGUCACACUGGAACUGAGAUACGGUCCAGACUCCUACGGGAGGCAGCAGCUAAGAAUCUUCCGCAAUGGGCGAAAGCCUGACGGAGCGACACUGCGUGAACGAAGAAGGUCGAAAGAUUGUAAAGUUCUUUUAUAAGUGAGGAAUAAGCUUUGUAGGAAAUGACAAAGUGAUGACGUUAAUUUAUGAAUAAGCCCCGGCUAAUUACGUGCCAGCAGCCGCGGUAAUACGUAAGGGGCGAGCGUUGUUCGGGAUCAUUGGGCGUAAAGGGUGAGUAGGCGGAUAUGCAAGUCUAUGUGUAAAAUACCACAGCUCAACUGUGGAACUAUGCUGGAAACUGCAUGACUAGAGUCUGAUAGGGGAAGUUAGAAUUCCUGGUGUAAGGGUGGAAUCUGUUGAUAUCAGGAAGAAUACCAGAGGCGAAGGCGAACUUCUAGGUCAAGACUGACGCUGAGUCACGAAAGCGUAGGGAGCAAACAGGAUUAGAUACCCUGGUAGUCUACGCUGUAAACGAUGCACACUUGGUGUUAAUCGAAAGGUUAGUACCGAAGCUAACGUGUUAAGUGUGCCGCCUGGGGAGUAUGUUCGCAAGAAUGAAACUCAAAGGAAUUGACGGGGGCCCGCACAAGCGGUGGAGCAUGUGGUUUAAUUCGAUGAUAGGCGAGGAACCUUACCAGGGCUUGACAUAUACAGGAUAUAGUUAGAGAUGACUAUUCCCCGUUUGGGGUCUGUAUACAGGUGCUGCAUGGUUGUCGUCAGCUCGUGCCGUGAGGUGUUGGGUUAAGUCCCGCAACGAGCGCAACCCUUAUUGUCUGUUACCAGCAUGUAAAGAUGGGGACUCAGACGAGACUGCCGGUGAUAAGCCGGAGGAAGGUGAGGAUGACGUCAAAUCAUCAUGGCCCUUAUGUCCUGGGCUACACACGUGCUACAAUGGCCUGUACAAAGCGAUGCGAAACAGUGAUGUGAAGCAAAACGCAGAAAGCAGGUCUCAGUCCAGAUUGAAGUCUGAAACUCGGCUUCAUGAAGUUGGAAUCGCUAGUAAUCGUAUAUCAGAAUGAUACGGUGAAUACGUUCUCGGGCCUUGUACACACCGCCCGUCAACAACC